AGACACAAGACAAUUUGGUUACCCAGUUCCCUUAUCGGAACCAGAGAAGAGAUUUCACCAACGCUAGAAAACACUGUAAUCUCCUUGCAACACAACCUGAUCAGCACUUGAGUGUAUUUAAAGGGCAAUGGAGCUGCUGUCAUGGGCUUCGUAGAAGACUUGACCCAAGACUUAAUUGUUGAAGUCGUAUGGGCUUUAACUCUUGAAUGCAGCCCACUUGUUUUGGACCCAAUAGAGUCUUGGCCCUCUUUGUCUGAAUUGAGACAACCAAACCCUUCAAUCUCCACCUUUGUCUUCGAUUCAGCUCAGCUCCGGUUUCAUCGCCUCCUGAUCUCACUCAGUCUCCAAACCUCUUCGAGUUUUAACCGAUCUGGGCUUCACGAUGCUUCCGCUAAUCUUACGACAUCAUCUCCUCUGUCAGCUUUACCGAUGACAGAUCAUGAUUUUCAUCUUUCCUAUCGCUCACAACUCUACCUUGCGAACUGCUCAACCGUUUCCGUUUAGCCACGAUUUCUGAUUGAUCCUCUAAUUUGAAGAAUCGUCGACUAUUCUUCUGCCCUUAGUAGUUCCAAUUUUGAUGAUCGAACCCAGACCCAUGUGCCUCUCAGUUUGACCACUGACGACACGUAGUACCUUGACUCUCUCACUUAACCUCAACACUGUAACUCUCACUGAUUCAGUAGUUUCAGAGAAUCCAGACUUCAAGACGGUAGAAUUUCAGUUUUAGUAAUUACCGAUACUGAUACACCUCAAUAUCUGUUUCAUGUCCAUUGUGAGAUUAUCAAAUCGACCAAGAUCAAUCUCUGGACUUCCUUUGCUGACUUAUGCUGAGACGUUCAGAAGUGCCAGGCACUUCUCAAAACUGUUACCAGGUGCGAAGAUUUCAUUGUAGUCUACCCCUUCGAUCUGCGUGAAACCUUUUGCUACAAGUCGGGCUUUGUACCUUGGAUCUUCCACACCAGGUUGCAGAAUUCAAGUCCGUUGUCAGUCCUGAGGCACUUAAUCUUCUUCUUGGUUUGGUUUUCAACCAGGUUUUUCCACUCCGAGAAGUGAUCAAAGACCUCAUCCUUGCUUCUCUGAAAUCGUAUCCAUACCUUUCGUGAGAAGUCAUCUAUGAACGUGAGGAAGUACUUGCAUCCUGACAGGCUUGGUUCAUUCCAGACAGAUCCCCAUAAGUCGCUGUGGAUGUAUUCCAACACACUGGUAGAUGUGUGUCUUCCCUCAGGGAAACUUUGCUUGUGAGUCUUCCCAAACACGCAUUCCUCGCAAAAGUCUAACGUGUGUACUUCCUUCGAGCUCAGCCGUUUUUCUCUAGUUGGCCAUAGGAGAUGAGGUUUCUGCCCAUGGUUGGCAUGUACCUCACUUCACUCAAGAUCACCGUUGAGCCAUCAGGGUUUAAGAUCUUAAGCUUUCCUAUGCCUUUGACUUCACUGUGGGUGUUGUUACCCAUCAAGACCUUUCCACCGUCUAUCUCUUUGAAGUCAAACACUUCCGUCUGCUUGUAAUUCUUCUUAUCAGGACAAUCUCGUUUGUAGUGUCCCUCCUUUCCACAUGUCCAGCAUUCACGAGGUUUCUGCGCGCCCCUAGGUCUCGACUUGGACCUAGCAUCUUUGCUCUUGGGCCGGUUCUUCCAGUGAGGGUCAGAGUCUCUUUACCGUUGCCAUAUUUCAGAGUAUGUACCAGUGAGUCGUACUGCUUAGGUAGGCUUGACAACACCUGCACUGCCUGAUCUUCGUCGCUCACUGUGAUGCUCAGACUUUCCAGAUCAUCAACCAAUCUGAGAAACACAUCCAUUUAACUCACCAGGAGGAAGUACUGGUUUCUUCCCGUCUUCGUCAUCCUUAAGUGCACCCUUUUCAGAUGACGAACUUGACUUGUCCUCCAUGAGGACACUGUCCAAUCCAGAGUUCUCAAGCUGCAUCUGCAUCUUGAAUUUCCACAUCCCGAAGUCUCCUUUACCAUCAAACUUCUCGACAUCAAUCUUGAUUCGAGUGUUGUGCAUGGUUACACACCAGAUCUCCCUUAUGUGAUCACACCAACUUGCAGGUCAGAAACUGAUACCGUAUCCUCUGCUUCACCCGGUGCUCUGAUACCACUUGUGAGACACAAGACAAUUUGGUUACCCAGUUCCCUUAUCGGAACCAGAGAAGAGAUUUCACCAACGCUAGAAAACACUGUAAUCUCCUUGCAACACAACCUGAUCAGCACUUGAGUGUAUUUAAAGGGCAAUGGAGCUGCUGUCAUGGGCUUCGUAGAAGACUUGACCCAAGACUUAAUUGUUGAAGUCGUAUGGGCUUUAACUCUUGAAUGCAGCCCACUUGUUUUGGACCCAAUAGAGUCUUGGCCCUCUUUGUCUGAAUUGAGACAACCAAACCCUUCAUGACAGCCUUAAGGGAUGUAUUGCUACACCAUUUUGCGCAGACUUUAUGCAUCCCCAUCUUCCAAAUCUCGUUUCCUGCCAUAUCCAUAUGACAAACACACACAGUUUUGAGAUUAGCCUUCACAAGAAACAAACAAACAGAGAACAAAUAAAGAAAAAAAGGAAGCGGACAAGAGAGGAUGAUCACAUACCUGUCCAACACCAGCAACCAGAAAUUUACCGGAUUUUGCAAAAGCCAUGGAGUUCACAAACCCAGUCUGGAACAUGAUAAAAUAAACAUUGCCUGUUCUUUUCUUGGACGCGGCGUCAGCUAGUGCGUCAGAGAAAUAUACACAACAAACUAGGAAAAAUAAAUGGUGGAGAAGAAACAAGUUGUCGCUGCGUUUACUUUUUACGAAGCCUGCCGGUGUUUUCCGCGACGUUCCUUGACGCUGUGUAAAAUAUCGGCAAUUAAACGAGACUUUCCGUGACGCUGCGUCUAAUUUUAUAGUGGAAACGAUGGCUGCCAGCGGUGUUCUCCACAAACUAGGAUAAAAAGUCAGUUAUAAUUUUGGUGGCUCACUGCUGAUACUGCGUCAGUGAAAAAAACAGGCCUAUGUUGCAAUUCUU